GAUGAACGCUGGCGGCGUGCCUAAUACAUGCAAGUCGAGCGAACAGACGAGGAGCUUGCUCCUCUGACGUUAGCGGCGGACGGGUGAGUAACACGUGGAUAACCUACCUAUAAGACUGGGAUAACUUCGGGAAACCGGAGCUAAUACCGGAUAAUAUAUUGAACCGCAUGGUUCAAUAGUGAAAGACGGUUUUGCUGUCACUUAUAGAUGGAUCCGCGCCGCAUUAGCUAGUUGGUAAGGUAACGGCUUACCAAGGCAACGAUGCGUAGCCGACCUGAGAGGGUGAACGGCCACACUGGAACUGAGACACGGUCCAGACUCCUACGGGAGGCAGCAGUAGGGAAUCUUCCGCAAUGGGCGAAAGCCUGACGGAGCAACGCCGCGUGAGUGAUGAAGGUCUUCGGAUCGGAAAACUCUGUUAUUAGGGAAGAACAAAUGUGUAAGUAACUAUGCACGUCUUGACGGUACCUAAUCAGAAAGCCACGGCUAAGUACGUG
rnacentral:rRNA from 1 species